UUUUUUGGGGAUAUUUCAGGUGGGAGAAGCCAGGACAUAGUCCUUUGUAUGGGUAUGAUUUUUGGUACCAACCUCGGCACAAGACCAUGAUCAGCACAUCUUGGGGAGCACCUAAAGCCUUCUCUAAAGGUUUCGAUCUCCAGCAUGUUGCUGAUGGCUUGUACGGGAGUCACCUACAUGUUUAUAGUUGGCCAGGUGGUGAAAUGAAACAAUUGAUUGAUCUUGGACCGACUGGUAUGUUACCUUUGGAGAUUAGAUUCUUGCAUGAACCAUCUAAAGAUACAGGGUUUGUUGGGAGUGCCUUGUCAAGUAAUAU